rnacentral:rRNA from 1 species
AGCGAACGCUGGCGGCAGGCCUAACACAUGCAAGUCGAACGAAGUCUUCGGACUUAGUGGCGGACGGGUGAGUAACACGUGGGAACGUGCCUUUAGGUUCGGAAUAACUCAGGGAAACUUGUGCUAAUACCAAAUGUGCCCUUCGGGGGAAAGAUUUAUCGCCUUUAGAGCGGCCCGCGUCUGAUUAGCUAGUUGGUGAGGUAAAGGCUCACCAAGGCUACGAUCAGUAGCUGGUCUGAGAGGAUGACCAGCCACAUUGGGACUGAGACACGGCCCAAACUCCUACGGGAGGCAGCAGUGGGGAAUCUUGCGCAAUGGGCGAAAGCCUGGCGCAGCCAUGCCGCGUGGAUGAUGAAGGUCUUAGGAUUGUAAAAUCCUUUCACCGGUGAAGAUAAUGACUGUAGCCGGAGAAGAAGCCCCGGCUAACUUCGUGCCAGCAGCCGCGGUAAAAC